AAACCAACUGGGAUUACCUUAGUAACGGCGAGUGAAGCGGUAAAAGCUCAAAUUUGAAAUCUGGUACUUUCAGUGCCCGAGUUGUAAUUUGUAGAAUUUGUCUUUGAUUAGGUCCUUGUCUAUGUUCCUUGGAACAGGACGUCAUAGAGGGUGAGAAUCCCGUUUGGCGAGGAUACCUUUUCUCUGUAAGACUUUUUCGAAGAGUCGAGUUGUUUGGGAAUGCAGCUCAAAGUGGGUGGUAAAUUCCAUCUAAAGCUAAAUAUUGGCGAGAGACCGAUAGCGAACAAGUACAGUGAUGGAAAGAUGAAAAGAACUUUGAAAAGAGAGUGAAAAAGUACGUGAAAUUGUUGAAAGGGAAGGGCAUUUGAUCAGACAUGGUGUUUUUGCAUGCACUCGCCUCUCGUGGGCUUGGGCCUCUCAAAAAUUUCACUGGGCCAACAUCAAUUCUGGCAGUAGGAUAAAUCAUUAAGAAUGUAGCUACCUCGGUAUGUUAUAGCUUAUUGGAAUACUGCU
rnacentral:rRNA from 1 species